rnacentral:rRNA from 1 species
UACGUAGGGUGCAAGCGUUGUCCGGAAUUAUUGGGCGUAAAGAGCGUGUAGGCGGCCCGAUUAGUCUGCUGUGAAAGUCCAGGGCUCAACCCUGGAAUGCCGGUGGAUACUGUCGGGCUAGAGUCCGGAAGGGGCGAGUGGAAUUCCUGGUGUAGCGGUGAAAUGCGCAGAUAUCAGGAGGAACACCAAUGGCGAAGGCAGCUCGCUGGGACGUGACUGACGCUGAGACGCGAAAGCCAGGGGAGCAAACGGG